CUACGGGGGGCACCAGUGGGGAAUAUUGCACAAUGGGCGCAAGCCUGAUGCAGCCAUGCCGCGUGUAUGAAGAAGGCCUUCGGGUUGUAAAGUACUUUCAGCGGGGAGGAAGGGAGUAAAGUUAAUACCUUUGCUCAUUGACGCUACCCGCAGAAGAAGCACCGGCUAACUCCGUGCCAGCAGCCGCGGUAAUACGGAGGGUGCAAGCGUUAACCGGAAUUACUGGGCGUAAAGCGCACGCAGGCGGUUUGUUAGGUCAGAUGUGAAAUCCCCGGGCUCAACCUGGGAACUGCAUCUGAUACUGGCAAGCUAGAGUCUCGUAGAGGGGGGUAGAAUUCCAGGUGUAGCGGUGAAAUGCGUAGAGAUCUGGAGGAAUACCGGUGGCGAAGGCGGCCCCCUGGACGAAGACUGACGCUCAGGUGCGAAAGCGUGGGGAGCAAACAGGAUUAGAUACCCGUGUAGUC
rnacentral:rRNA from 1 species